GACAGGGUAAAGAAGGAAACUUUCUGUUCUCCACGGUAGGUUCUGGACCUGGUUGGACUGGAAGUUUCAGCAUGGCCAACAUUACGUGGAUGACUGCCAGUGGGCAUGGAGGUUCCCUUCUCUCCUCGGGUUCCUGCCACUAAUAUAUAAAACCAAAACAAAAUUCUUGGUGCCAUUGAUAUUGAUUUCUUUAAGUCAGAGAAGACAGAUCUUUAUUGCCUGGGUGGACCAUGCAAGGAAAGGAAGAACAGAGAUCACUUCUCCUGAGAUGAGGCUUUUUGCAAAUUGGGAUACAUGCUGACACUGCCUGACCAGACAUGAGAUGGAAAAUGAUGGUGUGUCCUCCAGGAGACCACAUGGAUGCUGCUGGUUUUGAUUUAUUCAAGAUGAUCUGAAACAUGUCCCUGUGAAGAACAUGCAUGCCCAGAGAUUCAAUGGGUCUGACAGUAGAUGACUGGAAAAGUACUAGCAAGCCCAUCAACCUCAGCACAUGUGCAUCAAAUCUACCAUCUUCCUUCCUAUGUGAGCAUUUUCCAUGCUGUUCUCCAUGCUCCCAGGAAAAGAAAAUAGAGUGAACCCUGGAAUAGUUGAUAGCUGCUUAAUGUGCCCCUUCUUUUUGGAAUUAACACUGCCAACAUUACCUUCAUGUAAUGAUCAAAAUAAUGAUCAAAACACUUCCUCUAACACCUACUUGCAUUGUAGACCUUGCAAUCUGAAUUAUUCUACUGAUGUUACCAAACUGAAAUCUAUCCAUGAAAAUCACCAUAUUUAAUGAUCUUCCUAUUUAGAGUUAACCUGUUUUGCAUGGUUUGUAACCCCUUUUUGUCCCCUCAAACUCUUCAGGUCUCACUUCUGUUUCCCAUUCCCCAGCACUGUUCCAAUUCUUUUAUUUUGCACUUUUUUCUUUUAUGGUUUUCAUUCCUCCUUUUGGAACAUUCUUCAUGUUGUUGUGACUUUAGUGUUCUCUUUACACUCUGUUCUUGGCAUCUACUCUGUGGUUUCAAUGACCAUGACCAUGUUGGUGUUAGAAGUCCAUCUCUCAGCCACUGCAGUCAGGUGGUAAAAGUGAGGCUGAUGGAAGGAGAAAGUAAUCCUUUCUCUAGCCCUGAUCUUUUUCUUACACAUUCAGACCCCCUGCAUAUCUCUGCUAAUGUGUCCUGUUGAUAUCUCCAACUCAACUUGCUUAAAACAAAGCCCAUUUCCUUGACCUUUAAAUCAGUCCCUUCUCUUUCUCCAUGUCUAUUAAUGCCACCAUCUAUUAAUCUUCCAAUUAACCUGGUUUAAUACCUUUGAUCCACCAGUAUUUUUUUC